GAAAAGAACUUUGAAAAGAGAGUUAAACAGUACGUGAAAUUGUUGAAAGGGAAACGAUUGAAGCCAGUCGUACCGACGGAAAAUCAACUUCUCGGGUGCUUAUCGUGGGUGACGUUGAGCCUCACGGUCUUCGUUGCUUGUGUUGUUGGUACCUUUGUUGUGCACUUUCUCGUAGAUAGGUUAACAUCGAUUUUUGAUCAUCAUAAAAGGACCGGAGGAAUGUAGCUUCGAUCUCGUAUUGAAGUGUUAUAGACUUUGGUAAAUGUGAUGAUUAGGAUCGAGGAUUGCAACGAAUACCCUUUGGGCUAUCCGUCUGGCCUCUGAAAGUCGCUUGGGUGUCGAAAGCGUGCUUAUGGCAUACAAGUUGACGGUCAACAGGUUAGAACGUGAUUACAUUCGU
rnacentral:rRNA from 1 species